GUAAUGAUACCGGUGCACCUCAUUGAACGUCCGAAUUUUAUGCUCCAAUGUAUCAGAUGUGUGCGAAGGUAUGUACCAUGGAUUUUCUAAAUGUGUAGCUCUAUCGAUAACCGUGGUUCCGCACUGGAAACGGUGAGUGUGAUUGUGUCGAUAGGUGCAGUGAAUGCCGUUUAUUAGAGGCAUAAUUAUUAGCAUGCGUGAAUAUUACCUGCAAACAAGAAGACACAACUAACUUGAUAAAUCUUUUCAGGCCUUCAAAGUAAUGGAGCAAAUAGUACAAGACCAAACCAUUUCAGCACAUGCAACUCAAAACUGACAAAUUGUAAGGAAGAAAAAUAAACAAUAUUACAUGAAACGAACGAUAUACCUAUGUUUGUAUCAAUCGACAUAUCAUACCUUAAUUUAUUAUUAGUUGAAUUGUUAUUCAGAAUUUGUAUCAUGUUUACUACGCUAUCAUAGUGAGUCCUGCUAUUUGACAGUUGAUUCCCUUUGUGGCCACGGGGGGUUCUUUUUGCUACAUUUCAAGAGAUUGGGAGCUUCUGGGGAUUAAUCUUCAAAUGUAGUUAACCCAUGCAAGAAUUUGCUAAUUUGACUCCUAUGUGCAUGUAGGAAACUGUGUAGGAUUCCAACAGGAGUGGGAGCUUUGAAACUGUGAGGUAUUUAUCAGUAAAUAAUUUCAGUAAUAAGAACUCUUCCUCUCAAAGC
rnacentral:lncRNA from 1 species